rnacentral:rRNA from 1 species
UACGUAGGGAGCAAGCGUUGUCCGGAAUCAUUGGGCGUAAAGCGCGCGUAGGUGGCUUCGUAAGUCCGUUGUGAAAGUCAAAGGCUCAACCUUUGAAUGCCGAUGGAUACUGCGGAGCUAGAGUACGGAAGAGGCGAGUGGAAUUCCUGGUGUAGCGGUGGAAUGCGCAGAUAUCAGGAGGAACACCAACGGCGAAGGCAGCUCGCUGGGACGGUACUGACGCUGAGACGCGAAAGCGUGGGGAGCGAACAGG